rnacentral:tRNA from 1 species
GUUCUUAUAGUUGAAAUACAACGGUGAUUUUUCAUGUCACUGGUCAUGGUUAAAUCCCAUGUAGGAAUA